CUCAAGUCGCCGCUGAAGUCGCCGCCUCCGCCACCUCAAGUCGCCGCCACUUCCUGCGAUAGCAAUCUUUCUCUUAGGUGAAUCCUAAUCUCAAAUCUUUCUAUAACAUUCAGUCAAAUCUUUCUCAAAUCUCUCAGGUGAAAACGACAAGUCUUUUUUGUUUAUUUGGUAUUUUUGUUUUCUUCAGGAGACUCCAAAGCUGAAGCUGCACUCUUACUGGAGGAGCUCGUGCUCUCAGCGAGUGAGGAUUGCGCUCAAUCUCAAAGGGCUGGGGUAUGAGUACAAAGCAGUGAACCUUUUGAAGGGAGAGCAGUUCACUCCAGCGAUCAUGUCUUUAAAUGAUCAAUUUAGCAUCCAUGAUGAUGGUAGUAAUGAUGAGAGUACUUCUAAACGUAAAAGAAGACA